GCUGGCGGCGUGGAUAAGACAUGCAAGUCGAGCGAGAUUUCCUUUAGUAGCAAUACCGAAGGAAGUCUAGCGGCGAACGGGUGCUUAACACGUGGGCAACCUGCCGAGAAGUGGGGGAUAGCUCGCCGAAAGGCGAAUUAAUACCGCAUGUGAUUAGAGUGGACAUCCAUUCAAAAUCAAAGUCGGGGCAACCUGACGCUUCUUGUGGGGCCCGCGGCCUAUCAGCUAGUUGGUGAGGUAACGGCCCACCAAGGCUUUGACGGGUAGCUGGUCUGAGAGGACGACCAGCCACACUGGGACUGAGACACGGCCCAGACACCUACGGGUGGCAGCAGUCGAGAAUUUUUCUCAAUGGGGGAAACCCUGAAGGAGCGACGCCGCGUGGAGGAUGAAGGUCUUCGGAUUGUAAACUUCUGUCAUUGGGGAACAAGUCGCUUACGUUAACUGCGUGAGCGUUGAUAGUACCCGAAGAGGAAGAGACGGCUAACUCUGUGCCAGCAGCCGCGGUAAUACAGAGGUCUCAAGCGUUGUUCGGAUUCAUUGGGCGUAAAGGGUGCGUA
rnacentral:rRNA from 1 species